rnacentral:rRNA from 1 species
CAGUCGCCGCGGUAAUACGAAGGGUGCAAGCGUUAAUCGGAAUUACUGGGCGUAAAGCGUGCGUAGGCGGUGAGUUAAGACUGCUGUGAAAUCCCCGGGCUCAACCUGGGAAUGGCAGUGGAUACUGGCUCGCUAGAGUGUGUCAGAGGAUGGUGGAAUUCCCGGUGUAGCGGUGAAAUGCGUAGAGAUCGGGAGGAACAUCAGUGGCGAAGGCGGCCAUCUGGGACAACACUGACGCUGAGGCACGAAAGCGUGGGGAGCAAACAGGAUUAGAUACCCCAGUAGUCCCUGUCUCUUAUAC